rnacentral:tmRNA from 1 species
GGGGAUGUCAAGGUCUCGACAUGAUUGAUCGACUCUCAAAUGCAGUGGGGUUUGCCCCUUAUAGCUCCGAGGCUUGCCAAAUGCAGACUCAAGAGAAGAUAACGUUAACUUAGACGAAGCAUUCUUAGUUAAUCAAUUAUCAACACAAAACAAUCUUAACUACGCUUUUGUAGCAUAAGACUUUAGUGUCUCAGGGUAUUAAGGUUAGAUCACUUACCUUAAUACGUUAAAUAAGUGGUUAUAUUAAGUCAAUGCCUAUAGACUUAAUGAACUUAUAGGCUCAGUUACAUCUAGGUUGUUCUAAUACCUACUGGUUGUAAUGAAAUGCUAAAUUAGGACUAAACUGUAGAUUUUGUUAGAAAAUUAAUUGUGGAAAUGGGUUCGAUUCCCAUCAUCUCCACCA